UCUAAGAUACACAAAUCUAUUGCUAACCCCAGGCAACUGUUUUCAAUUUUCUCCUCUCUCCUCAGUAAACCCUCACCUCCAACUCAGACCUCCCUUACUGCUGAAGACUUCGCAGCCUUCUUCGAAGCAAAGGUCACACUCAUCCGCAGCUCCCUUGACCCUCCCGACUCCCCACCCUUCCCUCCCCCCAUCCCCUCUAUGACCCUCCCCACAUUCUCCACCUUCUCCCCACUCUCUCUCCCUGAUGUCUCCCAACUCUUGCUCUCCCACCGUCCCACCACCUGUGCCCUUGAUCCCCUCCCCUCUACCCUCCUCCAGCUGAUCUCACCAGAGAUUAUCCCCUUCAUCGCCCACCUGAUUAACUCCUCCCUGACUUCUGGCACCUUCCCGUCAUCUUUCAAAAGAGCCCACAUCACCCCCAUUCUGAAGAAACCAACACUGGACCCCUGCCUCACCCAGAACUACAGACCGACACUCAGGUCUCCGAUCGCAUAUCCGCCUGCCUGAGUGACAUCCAGAGCUGGAUGACCAAACACCAGCUCAUGCUCAACACAAGCAAAACGGAACUUCUCCAUAUUCCUUCUCUUACCUCUCCCACUUCUCAUCUGCCCAUUUCUUUAGGAGUCACUCCCCUACACCCUUCGCAGAGUGCCCGAAAUCUUGGAGUUGUGCUGGACAACAGGCUGGCACUCUCUGAGAAUAUCGCGGCAACCACCCGGUCGUGCAGGUUCAUCCUGUACAAUAUCCGCAGAAUAAGACCACUCCUCACCAAUUAUUCCACACAGCUCCUGGUCCAGGCCAUGAUACUGUCACGUCUGGACUACUGCAACUCCCUCCUGGCUGGCCUCCCAGCAUCAGCCACCAGACCCCUUCAGCUCAUCCAGAAUGCAGCAGCACGUCUGGUUUACAACCUCCCUCGUGACUCCCACGUCACUCCCUCCUCAUCUCCCUCCACUGGCUACCAGUGCAAGCUCGCAUCCGGUUUAAGACACUGGUGCUUGCUUUCCAAGCAGUCAAGGGGUCAGCUCCUGGUUAUCUGCAGAAGAUGAUCAGACCCUACAAGCCGGCCAGAUCGCUCCGAUCGGCUACUACAGGGCGGCUGAUUCCUCCCCCUACACGAGCAGCAACAAGGUCUCGACUCUUUGCAGUUCUGGCCCCACGAUGGUGGAACGAUCUUCCAGUGGAGGUCAGAACAGCAGAGUGUCUGAGCACCUUCAAACGGAAACUCAAGACGCACCUCUUCUCUGUAUACCUCUCUCCUCUUCCCUAAACCCUCUCCCAUAACUAUUUAAAAAAAAAAAAAAAAAAAAAAAAAAAAAUUUUUG